rnacentral:RNase_P_RNA from 1 species
ACUGCAAACCGGGUUAUCGCUCCAGCUACGUCGAUCAAGGCUGGGGAGGAAAGUCCGGACAGCAAAGAGCAACACACCGGUUAAUGGCCGGUCUUGUUCCGGUAACUAUCGAAACAGGAAGAAAGUGCCACAGAAAAUUACCGUCCGCCUGCGGCGGAUAAGGGUGAAAACGUGAGGUAAGAGCUCACGAUCCCUGUAAGUAAUUACAGGAAUGGGUAAACCUUGUGUGCUGUAAUGCCACGUAUAUCAGCGCCUGAGGGCUGCUCGUCCGAUGCUGAAGGGUAGGCAGCAAGAUUGUUGCAGUAAUGUAACAGCAAGAUAAAUGAUAACCUCCCGUUGCCAAACGGGAUACAGAAUCCGGCUUACAGGUUUGCAGUAUUU